AGAAAAACGAAAAACUCAUCGCCUGUCUUGAAGGAACUGACGCAGCCGCCAAGAAAGAACGCGUGUUGAAGGCUGUGAAUGGUUGCAAGGAAGAAGGCAAAGUGAAGGAAGAAAUGAAGUCAUGCAUUAACGAGAAAAUGG